rnacentral:lncRNA from 1 species
UAGUUCCCUCCCAAACCCUCUGGAUUUCUUCCGCCUAAACCUAUCCCCAAAUUUAAAACUUGCAACACCAAAUUUCUUUUCCACCCUAAUUUUGUAGUGCCUCCAGGUUUCUACAAAAAAUAACAAUAUCAUAUUAAAGCCAAACCUUUUCUAUGCCAUAACCCAUUACAAGCUUUUCAUCACACAUCGAUGAUGAAGACGGCGAUCGUUGACGGAAACUAUUUAGAGGUCAAAUACACAGUUGAUUUAGAGAUCUAUGAUGGAUGUAAACGACAAGUUGAUUCAGAAAUCAGGUAACUAGGAAGGGAUGCCAGCAUGGGGACGUACACACUUAUUCUCGGAUGUGACUGGUCUUACAAAAUGCUUAUUUUUGGAAUUAAAAACAAAGAGAAAGAAGAGCGAGGUUGUAAAGACUCAGACAACGUUAGGGAAAGCCCUGGUGCAUUCGAUAGUUUGUACAGCGAACUACCAGAAAUCUUGUUUAUUCAAAGAUGUGAACUUCUAUGUCCUGAUAGACAAGGUGCUCCUACGGUUAGGGGUAUAGGCUGUGUUUAUCCUACUACUGAGAGGAUUAUGCAUAAUUGCCUGAUGAUAGAUGGUUUUGUCAAAGUUCAAGUAGAUAGAGUUGAAGAAGGUUGCGGAUUGAAUUGUCUCUUGCCUGAUUCAUGUAGUAGACUGUUUGGAAGAUGCAAAAGAAUGCUUUAUUUACUGGUCUGUUAAAUCAAUAAAGAGUUUAAACAAAGAUUCUCCUCAAAGUGUAGAACCAUCUCACCAUUCUAUGGCUCGCUGAUAAACAAUUUUCUCAGAAUACAACCAAGCAUGUUCCUUUUGCUGGAAAAUAAAACCUCAAUGGUUCGUCAAAGUGAAAUUGACGAGUUUGUAGAGUGUACUUUAAAGGCGUCUAUUUCAGUUUUGGUGGCGGGAAGGACGACAAGGAUGAAUGGAGUGGCAAAGGAAUUUAAGUCAGUGAGUGCUGUUGAGAGCUUUGUGGUUAUUGGGGUGGAUAAAGGAGGUUGCACAAAGUCAAGGAGUUUUUUGGAUGGUUGAUUUUAUUUGUGCUAAACUGAAUGAUAGGAUGUUUUUUCUAUGUUAAAUUGAAUGUUUUAGACUAAUGGGUUAACAUGGAUGCUUUAGCUAUUUAUAACAUGGUUCAUUGUUUGUU